GAUGAACGCUGGCGGCGUGCCUAAUACAUGCAAGUCGAGCGAACGGACGAGAAGCUUGCUUCUCUGAUGUUAGCGGCGGACGGGUGAGUAACACGUGGAUAACCUACCUAUAAGACUGGGAUAACUUCGGGAAACCGGAGCUAAUACCGGAUAAUAUUUUGAACCGCAUGGUUCAAAGGUGAAAGGCGGUCUUGCUGUCACUUAUAGAUGGAUCCGCGCUGCAUUAGCUAGUUGGUAAGGUAACGGCUUACCAAGGCAACGAUGCAUAGCCGACCUGAGAGGGUGAUCGGCCACACUGGAACUGAGACACGGUCCAGACUCCUACGGGAGGCAGCAGUAGGGAAUCUUCCGCAAUGGGCGAAAGCCUGACGGAGCAACGCCGCGUGAGUGAUGAAGGUCUUCGGAUCGUAAAACUCUGUUAUUAGGGAAGAACAUAUGUGUAAGUAACUGUGCACAUCUUGACGGUACCUAAUCAGAAAGCCACGGCUAACUACGUG
rnacentral:rRNA from 1 species